AACGAACGCUGGCGGCAUGCCUAACACAUGCAAGUCGAACGAGAUCUUCGGGUCUAGUGGCGCACGGGUGCGUAACGCGUGGGAAUCUGCCCUUUGGUUCGGAAUAACAGUUGGAAACGACUGCUAAUACCGGAUGAUGACGAGAGUCCAAAGAUUUAUGGCCAGAGGAUGAGCCCGCGUAGGAUUAGCUAGUUGGUUUGGUAAAGGCGCACCAAGGCGACGAUCCUUAGCUGGUCUGAGAGGAUGAUCAGCCACACUGGGACUGAGACACGGCCCAGACUCCUACGGGAGGCAGCAGUGGGGAAUAUUGGACAAUGGGCGAAAGCCUGAUCCAGCAAUGCCGCGUGAGUGAUGAAGGCCUUAGGGUUGUAAAGCUCUUUUACCCGGGAUGAUAAUGACAGUACCGGGAGAAUAAGCUCCGGCUAACUCCGUGCCAGCAGCCGCCGUAA
rnacentral:rRNA from 1 species